rnacentral:tRNA from 1 species
UCUUAGAGAGUGGUGUAGAGGAGGCACUAGGAGUUUUGAUCUCCUAAGUAUGGGUUCGAUUCCCCUCUUUCUAAAAA